UGCUGUUGAGUUUUGUCUGCUAGGAUGUGGUUUGUUUGUUACCCAAUGUGGAUUUCCCUGUGUAACCAGUGUAGCCUGCAUUGUGUUUUGCGUGAAAUAACCACACAGACAUCAGAUGGUGGUUUGACUCUUCUUUACUUUGUCCCAUGCUCUCCCAUGCUAAACCAGUGCCGGUGCCAGGACAGGAAAUUAACAUAUACAGAUUUAUUGUGUAAAUCUUCAGCGGCCCAGAAAUCGAUCCAAACAAAAUUUCCUCACACAAGGUGCUUAUUCCUGGGACGUAAAGUGACUGUUGGUCAUCACUGGGCCAAGUUUUUUCUGGUUGAAGGGAACCAGACCAGGAGGAAACACAGCUCAAAAGCUUGAGAAACGAUUCACAUUCUGGGUUACUGUUGUGACAGGUUUCAGUAUGGACUGGCUACAAACUGUUACAGGAGCAUUAAACAGAUUGCUAGCUCCAUCCAUUUCCUGAGAUCCCACAUACAGCACUGUUUUGUCGCAACUAUUUACUACAACUUGCAACUAUUUACAAAAAAUUCUUGCAGGUCUGACUCAACAUUUAGGGGAAGUUCACCAUUGCCCAUGCUAACCCCCUUCACACAUGGGCUCUUUAGUUUAACUGAGUUUUAGGAGGAAGCGGUUCAAGGCCUGCUGUCUCGGGACAAUUACUCUUAAAGUGUCCAGAUUUGAGGUAGUUAUGACAAAACCUAAAGUAUGGCACAUGCAGAGAGCAUAUGUGGUGUGCUCUUUGGACUACACACUCUACAUGCUGAACUCACACUGACUUGAGAUCUGAAGUUCUGUCUGUUCUACCGAGAUUAGAUGAGGACAGUGAGGCAGUGCAUGGUGAUAAAACUUCAUCCAUCAUGUCAACCAACUGCUGCAUACUAGCAUUUGGAGUAACAGGAGACGCAUUGGGGUUGAGCUGACCAUUUGAACAUGGUGACUGACCUAAUGAGAGUUUGAGCUGCUUGAGAAUAUUGGGUACAGGAUCAUUACAGAUUUCUGAUGGCAAGUGAAAACAGGUGCAGAAAAGGGAAGAGGAGGUGCCAGGACAGAAAAUUAAGCUGAGGAUGCCACACGGCACCAUGUUUGGUGUCAAGCACCACCCUUUUUUAUCAGAGCCUAAAGGAACUUUGGCUCCACCAUUGUUCCAGCUGAGGACUUUGCUCCAAUUGUGGGUGUUGUGGAGGGCAACGCUCGGAAACCCAUGUGGAGGAUGCUUCCCUCCCACCCCUGCCGGAUAAUGCUCUGUCUCCAGGCUUGGAUGAGGACGUUGCUUGAAUACGCCCACAACCUGAUGCUGCUGUCCAUGCUUCAAAGUGGGGUGGGGUUCUCAGCAUUAAAAGCCUCAAUACAUAAUGGUGAUCAUUAUGGACAAACAGUUCAAUUGUUAUUUCUUCUAACCAGAGGACCUGCUUAAAAAGGGCUGAUAAUCACCUACAAAUUUCAGUCUAGAAAUUUUCUUUCAGGUCAUGGUGAUGUAAUACUCUCUCAUUUGCCAGGACCUUUGUUGUGGUCUUUUUUGUAUCUCCUAGGCUGAGUGUAUGUGGCUCUAAGAUGUGCAAGCCUAGGAGUUAAUUUGUGUCUCAAAUGCAGUGCCUAUGUAGUCCUAAGUUUUUUUUCGUAAAUUAAA